ensembl:lncRNA
CUGGCCAGCUCUCCUUGUGUAACGGCUCAUCUCCUGGUAUCUCCUCUAUGCUCUUGAGACUGUACUAGGAGACGCAGCAAACCUUCUAGCGACAGCACAUAUGGAUUAGCCAUCCUGGAGGAGCUGGACUGCCUGUGCAAACUGAAUGGGCUGCAGGGCUCAAGGACAAUUUAUCCUGGAGGACUCUGGAGACGGUUGCAGUGUUCCGACGGACCCGAAGGGCUGCGACCUCUGCUGUGAAAAAAGCAAAACAGCGGGUGUGGUAGGAGUUUGAGGAAGCCAUGGAGAAGGACUUUCGGUCGGCACCAAGGUGCUUCUGGAAAACCAUCCGCCACGGGGAACUAUCCAAGCUGGAUGGAACACUGUUGACCUCAACUGAGGAGGUAAUUGGGCGAUGGAAGGAAAACUUUGAGGAACUCCUAAAUCCCACUAACACGCCCUCUAUAGUGGAGGCAGAGCUGGAGGCUGAAGGGGAAGCAUUGUCAAUAUCCAUGGCAGAAGUCACUGAGGUAGUCAAACAACUCCACAGUGGCAAAGCUCCGGGGAUUGACGAGAUCCGUCCAGAAAAGUUGAAAGCUUUGGGUGUGGAGGGGAUGUCUUGGAUGACACGCCUCUUCAACAUUGCGUGGGAGUCGGGGACAGUGCCAAAGGAGUGGCGGACCGGGGUGAUGGUUCCCCUGUUCAAAAAGGGGGACCAGAGGAUGUGUGCCAAUUACAGGGGUAUCACACUUCUCAGCCUCCCUGGGAAAGUCUACUCAAAGGUACUGGAAAGGAGGGUUCGGCAGAUAGUUGAACCUCAGAUUGAAGAGGAACAAUGUGGAUUCCCUCCUGGUCACCGAACAACCAACCAGCUCUUGCAAGGAUACUGGAGGGGGCCUGGGAAUAUGCCCAUCCAGUCAUCCAUGUGUUUUGUGGAUCUGGAGAAAGCGUAUGACCGGGUCCCCAGGAGAUACUGCGGGAGGUGCUGGGAGUAUGGGGUGAGGAGGUCCCUUCUGAGGGCUAUCCAGUGCCUGUACGUCCAAAGUGAGAGCUUUGUUUGGAUUAUCG